rnacentral:rRNA from 1 species
CCUACGGGAGGCAGCAGUGGGGAAUAUUGGACAAUGGGCGAAAGCCUGAUCCAGCAAUGCCGCGUGAGUGAUGAAGGCCUUAGGGUUGUAAAGCUCUUUUACCAGGGAUGAUAAUGACAGUACCUGGAGAAUAAGCUCCGGCUAACUCCGUGCCAGCAGCCGCGGUAAUACGGAGGGAGCUAGCGUUGUUCGGAAUUACUGGGCGUAAAGCGUACGUAGGCGGUUAUUCAAGUCAGAGGUGAAAGCCCGGGGCUCAACCCCGGAACUGCCUUUGAAACUAGGUAGCUAGAGUCUUGGAGAGGUUAGUGGAAUUCCGAGUGUAGAGGUGAAAUUCGUAGAUAUUCGGAAGAACACCAGUGGCGAAGGCGACUAACUGGACAAGUACUGACGCUGAGGUACGAAAGCGUGGGGAGCAAACAGGAUUAGAUACCCUGGUAGUCCACGCCGUAAACGAUGAUAACUAGCUGUUCGGGCACUUGGUGCCUGAGUUGGCGCAGCUACGACAUUAAGUUAUACCGUCCGUCGGGUAGGUACGGUCGCGAAGAAGUUAAACUAACGAAAGAAGUUAGUACGGACGUGAGACGUGCCGACGGACGACGACGACGGGAGUAGG